AAGAGUUUGAUGAUUCCAUGGAUUCCUUCCAGCCCCAGGAGUCACAGGCCCAUUGAUGACCACAAAAAGGAAUGUCCAGUGCAGCUGCGGGUCCACUUGAGCCCUCCAAGCAAGCACUCUCAAGCCCGCUCUGUCUGGGAGCUCUGUGUUUUCAGAGCCUGUUGUUGCAGCGAUGCCUGGAAUCCUUAACACCUGCACACCAGCUUCCUGGGCAUUUCCACACCCUCCCCCUCCCCACCUCCUGCAUCUCCCAUUUGCAUCUGAAAUGCAGCUGCUCUGGGCCCUAUAGAGGAAAGCCAAAUGGACAGGACAUCUCCUUGUUUGUUCUCCCUCCCCUGAGUCAAACCGAAUCUGAAGCUCCUCUGUGCGACGCCUUUGUUGCCUCCUCAUUAUGUUUAAAUGAGCCUCAUCUGCAGGAGGAUUUUUUUUUAAUAAAAUAAAAUAAAACCACCACAAAAGACCAAAGCAUAUGACAUCUGCUCUUUCGAUGAAAGCUUUUUUUGUCCCGAAUUAGACUAAAAAAAGAAGAAGAAAACAUGAAAGAAAAAAGAACGGGGCUGGGCCUCAUUUUUACCAUUCCUCCCAAGAAACAAAACAAACAGAAUUAGUGUAUGCUGGAGGCAAAGGGUGUGGAAUGGAUAACAAGAAAAAAAAAGGGGGAGAAAAGAUGAA
rnacentral:lncRNA from 10 species